UCAAAAUGUGAAAUAGUUUUGAGAUUGUGUUGGUUUGUGCAGUUCUUGACGGUUUGCAGGAGAUAUUCGCCGAGGCCGUGAGGAGAGAUGAUGUGAAAGCUAUCGUUUUGACUGGCAAAGGAGGGAGGUUUUCUGCUGGGUUUGACAUUAAUGUUUUCGAGAAGGUUCACCAGACUGGCGAUGCUUCAGUUAUGCCUGAUGUAUCGAUUUCUCUUGUGGUGCAUCUUAG